CCUACGGGUGGCAGCAGUGGGGAAUCUUGCGCAAUGGGCGAAAGCCUGACGCAGCCAUGCCGCGUGAAUGAUGAAGGUCUUAGGAUUGUAAAAUUCUUUCACCGGGGACGAUAAUGACGGUACCCGGAGAAGAAGCCCCGGCUAACUUCGUGCCAGCAGCCGCGGUAAUACGAAGGGGGCUAGCGUUGCUCGGAAUUACUGGGCGUAAAGGGAGCGUAGGCGGACUGUUAAGUUAGAGGUGAAAGCCCAGGGCUCAAGCAUGGAUUUGCCUUUGAGACUGGCGGUGUUAAGUGGGGAAGAGGUAGGGGGAACUCCGAGUGUGGGGGUGAAAUUCGUAGAUAUUCGGAAGAACCCCAGGGGCGAAGGCGACAUACUGUUCGGUUACUGACGCUGAGGCUUGAAAGCGUGGGGAGCAAACGGGAUUAGAUACCCUUGUAGUC
rnacentral:rRNA from 1 species